GUAGGUGGAUGAACGUUGGGUGUACAGUAGGUGAUAACGUUGGUGUACAGUAGGUGGAUGAACGUUGGGUUUACAGUAGGUGGAUGAACGUUGGGUGUACAGUAGGUGGAUGAACGUUGCGAGUACAGUAGGUGGAUGAACGUUGGGUGUACAGUAGGUGGAUGAACGUUGCGAGUACAGUAGGUGGAUGAACGUUGGGUAUACAGUAGCUGUGGAUGAGAAAGCAAGUGUUUGUAAGCGUAAGAGUGAUAUUCAAAUCACUACAAUUAUUUAUUCAGAUCAUAACAGUAUUGGAAGCUCCAGGGAACGUUUCUGAAUUAGAAAUAAGGUUUGGUUUAGCUUUGAGUUUCAUUUCUCACAUUAAGGAGACGGGAGAAAGCCUCUGGUUUCAAUCUAGUGGCUCAAAAUUAGUUAGUGAUUAUUUUUCUCGUUUCCAAGAGGGUUGACUAAGAAAACAUGAGAAAAUGAACAUUGUGGGGUGUGUGGUUGACAACUUGUGAGAACUCAAGGGGAAGUGGCCUAUCUGCUGUGUUCUGUGCCCGCCUCCUGCUCCCUGCCUUCUCACGACGCUCUCUUGACUUUCUCUUUCUAGAAGAAGACCCUCAUCCACUCGGUCUAUCGCUCACUCCAUUUAUAUCCUCAGGCAAUGGUUGGGAUCUUUAUGUUAGGGACCUUUCUCUUGUACUGUGUGGGACAGAACCAAAUUCAAGGGGUCCCCCAAGGAUGUGUGUCCCAGCCCUCAUGUUCAGCUUGCCUGAGGAGCCCUGGAUGUGCCUGGUGCAAACACAAGGUCAGCUUUAUCAUGCAUCAUCUGGCUUGCUGUUGCUUCCUCAUUUCUUUGUUUCAAACUGUUGCAUGUUUUAUCCUUGAGUGUUGCUAUUAAAAUGUCAAUAGCUACUUACAAUAGGAUCGAGUACAAUUAUUUGUCACAUGCGUCGUAAACAACAGUGAAAUGCUUACUUACGGGUCCUUACCAAUAAUACAGAGAGGGAAAAAAAGAGAAAUAGUAGGGAAAAAGAAGAAGAAAAACAAGGGGUAAUGGGUCUUCACUGCAGGCUGAAUGGUGAAAAUCUUUUGCAACUUGGGUGAGAUCAUAGACAAUGAUGUCCCAUCAAGCUCAUGUAAGAUUUUGUGGAUGUUAUAUUUUCAACAUUUUCAAUAGCUUCUACAGUUCAGCAGACAUUUUACUUACAGUUAUGGGUUUAAUUAUACAGGACCUUAAAUUUAAUGGUGGAAGAGAUCACGUGACGUGUCAAACACUUUACCUCCUUACCUCCUGGUGAUAAGAGGUGUGAAAGGUUAGAUUGAUGGAAAGCCCGUUAGGUCAAGUGAAUGUUUACAUUUCUCCUUCACAUUGUCAUACAUUUAGAGGAAAAGUUAUUUUCCAAUCGUUUCAUUCUGAACAUAACAUAUUCUUUGUUCUGUUCCACUGUUCCGACCAGCAAAAUAAAGUUCUGAACCAGUUCAAACCAAAAACAAGUAAAAAUUACAUUUAGAUCAACAUUAAAUUACUUUACCAAUGGAUAGAGCAGCUUGCUGUGGAGUGGGCAAGCUAUGUACAUACAUUGGUCAGAAAAGUGUAGUGUAAAAUAAAAUGUUGCGUGUGAGGAGAGUGCUGGGCAUGAAGCGCUGGGCAUCUUGUUGUUAUGACAUGCGUUAUCUGAAUUAGGCCCACAGUAUUAUACCUACGGAGGAGCGGCUUCUAUGAAGGAACUUUGAAUGUCUUUGAACUUCAGAGAGUUGUCUUAACUAACAUUGGACCAGAGCUAGCUGUUGAUCAUGACUCUCACUUCCAUUACAUUACACAUAAUGCCACCGAGAGCUAACAAGCUAGCUAGCUAACUAACAAGCUUGUGUGUGCAGAGCGGCACCAUAAUUCAAAUAAAAACACGUCUUAGCUUUUUGCAGUUAAUAAAUCCAAUGUGAAACGUGAAAACUAUAGUGUCCUUAACUAGCAUUGAAAAGAUAAUCCAUCGUUCUCUAAUUCAAAAUCUCUCUCCCUAAUUUCUGAAUCACACCUGUAAGUUACAGUAGUUACUUACAGGUGUGUUACAGUAGUUACAGUAGACUAUAGUAGACUAUGCAUGGUUCGGAGGGAGGGGAGGUAGCCUACACACACACAAACCCUGGCAAAGAUUUACAGCUGGCAGGCAGACACUGGAAUAAGUUUAUGAGUGACAGUGAGGUCUUUGUGUAGGCAAUUUGUUGCAUGUUUUGUGGGACUAUAAAAAAAAAUGACUUGAACGUAAAAUUACUUUUCUAAUCCGGAACAGUAUAUAUCACUUUUGUUUUCAUUUCUGAUUCUAUUCCUAGAAAAAUGUCAUCAUUUUCAGGUUUUCUUUCUGUUCCCUGAACCGGCUCCAACCCCUGGCUAUAACUGUUAGAAUAUCUUCUCUUUCUAGAUCCUCAAACAUUUAUACUAGUGUCAAAUUACAGACAUAUGGCACUGCAUAGGUUCUUCACCAUAGCACUACUCAUUAAACAAAGUGUAGUGGCUAGGUUCUAAGAUUCCAAAAGGACACUUCUAUAGACCAGACCUGGGUUCAAAUACUAUUUCAAAUAUCUCAAUUACUUUCACAUACCUAAUAUUCAGAUAUCUUUCAUUUGAAAAAACAAGUAGUUGAAUAGUAUAAUGUAUUUGGAAAUAGACUUGGAAAGUUUUUGAAAAUACUCAAAUACACUGACUCAAAUACACUCCCAUGCAUUAACCCAGGUUUUUGAAAAUACUCUCAAUUACAAUUUGGUAGACUAUUUGUUUGUUUUUUUAACAAAUAAUCAUUCCAAAUACUCAAAUAAAAGUACUUGUUGUGGGUUGUGUAUUUGAAAAUUCUCAAUGUUUUUAUUUACAUACAGUGGCAAGAAAAAGUAUGUGAACCCUUUGGAAUUACCUGGAUUUCUGCAGAAAUUGGUCAUCAAAUUUGAUCUGAUCUUCAUCGAAGUCACAACAAUAGACAAACAUAGUGUCCUUAAACUAAUAACACACAAAUUAUUGUAUUUUUAUUGUCUAUAUUGAAUACAUAAUUUAAACAUUCACAGUGUAGGUUGGAAAAAGUAUGUGAACACCUAGGCUAAUGACUUCUCCAAAAGCUAUUUGGAGUCAGGAGUCAGCUAACCUGGAGUCCAAUCAAUGAGACGAGAUUGGAGAUGUUGGUUAGAGCUGCCUUUCCCUAUAAAAAACACACACAAAAUCUGAGUUUGCUAUUCACAAGAAGCAUUGCCUGAUGUGAACCAUGCCUCGAAAAAAAAAAAGAUCUCAGAAGACCUAAGAUUAAGAAUAGUUGACUUGCAUAAAGCUGGAAAGGGUUACAAAAGUAUUUCUAAAAGCCUUGAUGUUCAUCAGUCCACAAAAAGACAAAUUGUCUAUAAAUGGAGAAAAUUCAGCACUGUUGCUACUCUCCCUAGGAGUGGCCAUCCUGCAAAGAUGACUGCAAGAGCACAGCGCAGAACGCUCAAUGAGGUAAAGAACAAUCCUAGAGUGUCAGCUAAAGACUUACAGAAAUCUCUGGAACAUGCUAACAUCUCUGUUGACGAGUCUACUAUGCGUAAAAC
ensembl:lncRNA